CACAAACACACACACUGGACACACACACACACUGGACACACACACACACACACACACACACACACACACACACACACACACACACACACACACACACUGGACACACACACACACACACACACACACACACACACACACUGGACACACACACACACUGGACACACACACACACACUGGGACACACACACACACACACACACUGGACACACACACACACACACUGGACACACACACACACACACACUGGACACACACACACACACUGGACACACACACACUGGACACACACACACACACUGGACACACACACACACACACACACUGGACACACACACACACACACACACACACACACACACACACACACACACACACUGGACAAACAAACACACACUGGACACACACAUACACACACACUGGACAAACACACACACACUAGACAAACAAACACACACACAAACACAGUGGACACACACACACACACACACACACACACACACACACACACACUCUGGACACACACACACACACACACAUGUGCGUCUUCCUAUAGUUGUGAGGACCUCUUACAAUAACACUGUUAAAAUACCAAUGUGAUCAUUUGUUGUGUUUUAUGUUGAAAAACAAAUUGUAUAAUUAUAUAUGGACAUACGCUCCAUAGUUGUACAAGUAUACAAGGAUAUAUUGUACUUUUCAUAAUAAAACAUACUUGAAACAAGAAAAGGCUGUUAAUUGUGAAAACAGUUUGUUUAUUGAUUUUACGUUUCCUCUGUCAGGUUGAUGUUAACCUGCGACUGGUUGAAACAUGAAACAAAUAUGAAAUGAAAUACAAAACAAUUAAAUAUGUGGAAUAGAAUUAAACAAAUUGUACAAUUAAGUGUUGUAAUGCAGGGUCACUAUAGCAACAGAGUGUUGUAAUGCAGGGUCACUAUAGCAACAGAGUGUUGUGAUGCAGGGGCACUAUAGCAACAGAGUGUUGUGAUGCAGGGUCACUAUAGCAACAGAGUGUUGUGAUGCAGGGUCACUAUAGCAACAGAGUGUUGUGAUGCAGGGUCACUAUAGCAACAGUGUUGUGAUGCAGGGUCACUAUAGCAACAGAGUUUUGUGAUGCAGGGCCACUAUAGCAACAGAGUGUUGUCAUGCAGGGGCACUAUAGCAACAGAGUGUUGUGAUGCAGGGUCACUAUAGCAACAGAGUGUUGUGAUGCAGGGUCACUAUGCAGGGUCACUAUAGCAACAGAGUGUUGUGAUGAUUCCGGUGGAAUCUCUCCAGACCAGAGGAACCAGAGGAACCCUGUGACGUCAUCAACAGAGAGAUUCUCUACUCUCUCUGCUCUCUCUCUGCUCUCUCUCUGCUCUCUCUCUGCUCUCUCUCUCUGCUCUCUCUCUCUGCUUUCUGCUCUCUCUGCUGACUCUCUCUCUCUCUCUCUGCUCUCUCUCUCUGCUCUCUCUCUCUGCUCUCUC
ensembl:lncRNA